AGCUCCAAUAGCGUAUAUUAAAGUUGUUGUGGUUAAAAAGCUCGUAGUUGGAUCUCGGCAGGCUUGGGGCGGUUUGCUUGCUAGUAUUACUGCCCUAUAGUCUGUAGUUUUGCCAGAGGUUUUAGGGUGCUCUUAAUCGAGUGUCCUGGGAUGCUGGCAGGUUUACUUUGAAAAAAUUAGAGUGCUCAAAGCAGGCUUUUACGCCUGAAUAUUCGUGCAUGGAAUAAUAGAAUAGGAAGUCGUUUCUAUUUUGUUGGUUUUCGGAAAUCGACUUAAUGAUUAAUAGGGACAGUCGGGGGCAUUUGUAUUCAAACGACAGAGGUGAAAUUCUUGGACCGUUUGAAGACAAACUACUGCGAAAGCAUUUGCCAAGAAUGUUU
rnacentral:rRNA from 1 species